GUAAUCCUCUUGGUAUGCAUUUACAGGAAAAUCUAAUGACACUGUCACUGCCACAUGGAAAACUAUACUCAUAGAUGCCUGAACUAAUCUACUAAGGUAAUUGAUAGCAAAAAAAAAAUAAAAAAAAAAUAGGUCAUGACUUGUGCGGGCGGAGAGUAAGUCCGGAAGCGUAGGUUCGGGACACAACCUGCGCUUAGGAAGGCUCUGGUUCAUCUGGCAGUGACUGUGGAGUAAGAGAAAACAAAAACAGGAUUUUUGUGCAACAAACGGAUAAAUGAGAGAGCAGAAGGUUUAUGAAACGACCCGCAAACGAUCCACGCAAUUAGAGCUAAGCUGUCCUCAGCGAUAGGGACAUUCGCUCACGGGACUGGUCAGAUGGUGAAAACGACUUGCUCGCUGCCUCAUCGACUAUGAUGCAGUGGCAGCCCAGUGCUACACUAUUCCUCCCAAAGGACAAGCAUUGGGUUAAUAAUUGUAUUGGAACUGUUUCCAUCUCCCUGGCUGAUUGCCCUGUCUACAACAAGAAUUGGUCAGAUUGUGAAAACAACCUGCUUACCUGCCUCAUUGACUGAGAUGUAGUAUCAAUACAAUGCUACACUAUUCCCCCCUAGAGACUGAUGUAAGUCCUACAAGAUUAUGUUCAGUAGAUAUUGCCUUCAACAGACAACACCUCCACCAUGGACUUUAUAUUGGUAGAGAGUCCUGCCUUGCCAAGCACUGUCUCUCCACAGCCUGCUGUGUGCCCAACUUGGUGAUGACCAUUCAGAUUGCUUUGCACAAACAUGCACAUUUGCCAGUUGUAGUGACUCCCAUAAUGUAUUUUAUAGGAGCUGCCCUGCUACUGAGGUAGCAGUUCUCAGAUUCAAACUUGGUUUCACACUAGGCGAGACCAGACAGUAAGCAAAACAAUUAAUGCUUCCUUCCU
rnacentral:lncRNA from 1 species